UAAUUUGAAAGAGUGCAAGUAUUGCACUUCAGUUUGGUAGAAGGGAAACUGAGUUCUGUUAUACAGAGUCCAAAAUUCCCAAGUCUCAACUAGAGGGUUUCCACUCUCUCUUUCUCUCUGUCUGAAACUUACUGAUCAACACAUCCCAAAGUAAACUUGGCUCAUUGAGCGUUUUCUUCUCACAAUCUCUUUCCAUCCAAAAAUGUCAUCUUUCCGAAGCCCCACUCCUAUUCUCCGUCAUUCCAUAUCUCUGCCUUGAACCCCAAAAGAAAUCUUGGCGUUUUGCGGAAGAAACCUCAGCUGAUGGUUCUGCCCCCUCAGCUCUCCUUCAGAAAGAGGAUGUACAUAAGCUCGGAGUGGUGGUGAAGUCAAUGGAGAAACCUAGGAUAGUGUUGAAGUUUAUUUGGAUGGAGAAGAACAUUGGAAUUGUGCUGGACCAGGUUAUUCCUAGUCAUGGUACACUUCCUGUGAGCCCUUAUUAUUUCUGGCCUAGAAAAGAUGAUUGGGAGGAGCUUAAAGUCUUGCUAGAGAGUAAGCCCUGGAUAUCCCAGAAGCAGAUGAUCAUUCUCCUUAACCAGUCCACUGAUAUCAUCAAUUUGUGGCAACGAAGUUGGUGAUUUAGCGUAAGCUGUCAUCGAACAAGAUUUAUCUUGCUGCCACUGAAUGUCAUAAUUCUGUUUGUUGUAACUUACUUCACUUAAAAAGGUUAGUACCUACUAAAAAAUUCACUUAAAAUGUUAGUCAAUUGAAUGCAAUUGAUUCUUGUAGAUUUCCUCAAUUCUUUUCAUAUUAUGAAGUGCAAUUUAGACCUUGUAA